rnacentral:pre_miRNA from 1 species
AGGGGGAGUAGGGAUUCAGAUUGGGUGACAUAGGGUGAAUCUCGACCCUCCAAAACAAAUCCAACAGCUUAGAUUCGUCCACGUCAUCAUGAGUAAAAAUUUUAUUCCCAGUAAAACUUUUACUCCAGGAAUUUUACUCCUAGUAAAAUUUUUACUCCUGAGUAAAUCUGCGAGUAAAAUUUUUACUCGUGAUGACGUGGACGAAUCUCAGCCGUUGGAUUUGUUUUGGAGGGCCAAGAUUCACCCUAUGUCACCUUGUGACAUGUCUAC